UGGGGAAUCUUGCACAAUGGGCGAAAGCCUGAUGCAGCGACGCCGCGUGCGGGAUGAAGGCCUUCGGGUUGUAAACCGCUUUCAGCAGGGAAGAUAGUGACGGUACCUGCACAAGAAGCCCCGGCUAACUACGUGCCAGCAGCCGCGGUAAUACGUAGGGGGCGAGCGUUAUCCGGAUUCAUUGGGCGUAAAGCGCGCGCAGGCGGCUCUUCAAGCGGAACCUCUAACCCCGGGGCUCAACCUCGGGCCGGGUUCCGAACUGGAGGGCUCGAGUGCGGUAGAGGCAGGCGGAAUUCCCGGUGUAGCGGUGGAAUGCGCAGAUAUCGGGAAGAACACCGAUGGCGAAGGCAGCCUGCUGGGCCGGCACUGACGCUGAGGCGCGAAAGCUAGGGGAGCGAACAGG
rnacentral:rRNA from 1 species